rnacentral:lncRNA from 1 species
UUAGGCAAAGUUAAGAAAGAAAUUUGCAUUCAAGAUAUUCUUGUGGUCUGAGAUUUUCCAAACAUAUUUCCUAAUAAACUACCAGUACUACCAGUAGGUUGAGAAGUUGCAUUUACUAUAGAUCUUCAGCCUGACACCCAGCUCAUCUCGGUUACCCCCUAUCGAAUGAAUCGUGUUGAGAUGGAAGAACUGAGAAAACAG